rnacentral:tRNA from 1 species
AAGAUACUAGUAAAGUAUUACACUGCCUUGUCAAGACAAAAUCGCGGGUUAAACCCCCGCGUAUCUUAACCCCCCACAC